ensembl:lncRNA
CUGUUCUGCAACUUUUUAUCUCUCUGUGAAUAGGAACAGGCUUCCCCAAUGACUCAAUAGGUAAAGAACCUGCCUGCAAUGCAGGAGAUGCAAGACACCCAGGUUCAAUCCCAGGUUUGGAAAGAGCCCCUGGAGGAGGAAAUGGCAACCCACUCCAGUAUUCUUGUCUGAAAAAUCCCAUGGACAGAGGAGCCUGGCAGGCUACGGUCCAUGAGGUCUCUAAAAGUCAGACAGGACUGGGCAUGCAUCCACCCUCAUGAAUGAGAAAAUGUUACACUCUGAGCCUUGUGAAUGGGCUAUCCUGCAUGUUUCAGGCUAUGGGCAACAUUCUUGCAGCAAAAGCAAUAGCAUACAAAGGUUAAAGUAAAAGGAAGGUUCAAUAUGAAGUCAGAUUCAUUCUUCCCUGUUAGAUUACAUGGAAACAAUCUAUUGAAAUGAUUUCCUGCAGUGUAAAUUUUGCAUCUUGUUCAUCCCAGUGACUAGCAUGAUUAGGGAGAAUGACAGGUUGUGAAUAAAUACAUGCCCAGCAUUCUUCUACACCUUUUCAUGUGUGAUUUCUUAUUUGCUUAAAAGGCUAAUUACCUGCUGAUCAGGUUCUCCCAGUCCAUGCGUGGGAAACACUAAGAGGAAUUCGAAUUUCCCGUGGAAAGCAACAUGGACUCUCGGCCUCCCCCAUGCCUCUCACAUUUCAGUAUCUCAAAGCAAGUUGAGGCGGACAAGGGAAGAAAACAGCUGAAAUGAAAAUGGUUAAGUUAAUUAAUUGUGAGCUUGCUUGUAGGACCAGCUCGUUUAUUUAAUCAGUUGCCUAGUAACCCUGCCUGCGUAUGAGGUAAAUCUGAUCAUCCUGCCUCUGAGCAAGUCAUGGGCCAGUCUGUCUACCAGCCACCAGCACUCCCUUCCUGCUUUCACAGAUUCUGCAGCUGAGGGACCAAGGUCUUUGCAUCAUCAUGACCUUCACCUGGCGAAUCAGAGGACAAGUAAAAGGACUUACAUCUGCCUUCCUUCUAGAGCAACCUGCAGACCAGGUUGUUUUGAACGUCUCUCCUCCAUCUUUAUCCCGAGCCAUCCUCGUUCUUCGGCCAAAUAAAAAGGAAACAUCAAUGCAAUAAAGACCCAUGUUUCUGCUUCGACACACCAUGACCACAUUCUUAUACUAUUACGAGAACAAUUUCAGAAAAGACCACAAGCUUGUGACAGAGUGAAUUUGUGAUCUUAUCCAAUCAUCUGGGCUGUUUGCAGAACUUCAGUAGGUGGCAGCGUUUUGUUGAUAAAUGUUUUGUUAGCCAAGAGAACUCAUUUAGUGCAACUGUUGCAAUAUUAAUAAACUGAACUUAUGAUCGCGUUUGCCA